rnacentral:rRNA from 1 species
CGAAAGCCUGACGGAGCAAUACCGCGUGAGGGAGGAAGGCUCUUGGGUUGUAAACCUCUUUUCUCAGGGAAGAAAAAAAUGACGGUACCUGAGGAAUAAGCAUCGGCUAACUCCGUGCCAGCAGCCGCGGUAAUACGGAGGAUGCAAGCGUUAUCCGGAAUGAUUGGGCGUAAAGCGUCCGCAGGUGGCAAUGUAAGUCUGCUGUUAAAGAGUCUAGCUCAACUAGAUAAAGGCAGUGGAAACUACAUAGCUAGAGUGCGUUCGGGGUAGAGGGAAUUCCUGGUGUAGCGGUGAAAUGCGUAGAUAUCAGGAAGAACACCGGUGGCGAAGGCGCUCUACUAGGCCGCAACUGACACUGAGGGACGAAAGCUAGGGGAGCGAAUGGGAUUAGAUACCCCAGUAGUCCUAGCCGUAAACGAUGGAUACUAGGCGUGGCUUGUAUCGACCCGAGCCGUGCCGGAGCUAACGCGUUAAGUAUCCCGCCUGGGGAGUACGCACGCAAGUGUGAAACUCAAAGGAAUUGACGGGGGCCCGCACAAGCGGUGGAGUAUGUGGUUUAAUUCGAUGCAACGCGAAGAACCUUACCAAGGCUUGACAUGUCGCGAAUUUCGGUGAAAGCUGAAAGUGCCUUAGGGAGCGCGAACACAGGUGGUGCAUGGCUGUCGUCAGCUCGUGUCGUGAGAUGUUGGGUUAAGUCCCGCAACGAGCGCAACCCUCGUUUCUAGUUGCCAGCAAUAAGAUGGGAACUCUAGAGAGACUGCCGGUGACAAACCGGAGGAAGGUGGGGAUGACGUCAAGUCAGCAUGCCCCUUACGCCUUGGGCUACACACGUACUACAAUGCUACGGACAAAGGGCAGCUACACAGCGAUGUGAUGCAAAUCUCAUAAACCGUAGCUCAGUUCAGAUCGAAGGCUGCAACUCGCCUUCGUGAAGGAGGAAUCGCUAGUAAUUGCAGGUCAGCAUACUGCAGUGAAUUCGUUCCCGGGCCUUGUACACACCGCCCGUCACACCAUGGAAGUCGGUCACGCCCGAAGUCAUUAACCCCAACCUUUUGGAAGGGGAUGCCUAAAGUAAGACUGGUGACUGGGUGA